rnacentral:lncRNA from 1 species
UAAUAUAUAAUUAAUUAAUGAAAUUCAUCACAAAAUAUUAAAAGUCAUGAGAAAUAACUUAAAAUAUUUUCUUAUACCAUAAAAUAAUUUUUCAUGAUUUUUCAUUAAUUAAAACUAUUUUUAAAAAUCAUAAUUAGUGCGUGACUUAAGAAAAUUAGCUACCUCGUGAUUAACUCCAGAGAUACCCAUCUUUUGACAUAACCAUACACAUGUUAACGUGACACUCCAGUUUAAAUUUCGUGGCAAUCGGAGUUGUAGAACUCCGGUUAUAGCGAUUUUCGUCGGAAAAUCACAAAAAUUGAAAUGGUCAUAACUUGGUCGUUUUAACUCGAAAUUAGCUCAUUUUUGGACACGAGCUACAUAAUACCAUAUAUUUUCAUUUUCCAAAAGUCCGGAAUUUUUCUCACAAGAAAAGUUGACAAAACAGCCCUUGCAAAAUAUUAGCAGCUUACUUUUUGUACUUUGGCAGUUUUGGAGUCCUUUACCAAAACUUAAAUAAAAUGAAAUCUAAAACUCCGAUUAAUGAUCCGUAAAUUUUGUUGGAUUCCUAUCUUUCCGAACUACAGUUUUCAUCUAUCAAAAUCCAUAUUUGGACAUGUUAAGCUCCCAGAAAUUAGCCCGGAAGUGGCUGUUACAAACUGUUAUUUUAACAGUUUUUCUUACAUUUGAGUAGUUUGGGAGAAAUUUCAUAACUCUCUCCUCCGAUGUCGGAUUUAGUCCGUUUCGGAGUCUAUGGAAAGCUUAUUGAGUGUACUAUAACAUACCAAAAGCCAAAAAGUUUUAGAACAAGCUAGCUAACACAGAAAAGUUCUUUUUAGGUCAGCGGUUUACUAGUUUUUACACUUUAGAAAAAUUAGUUUUCUUUCCCUUCCUUACUUAAGCUUUUCACUACCAAAAAUGGUUAGAUCUACUCAUAAAACACUCUAAAUCAUGUAGAUCUAGAGUUUUGAAGAUCAAGAACAUAAAU